rnacentral:rRNA from 1 species
UAGGGAAUCUUCCGCAAUGGACGAAAGUCUGACGGAGCAACGCCGCGUGAGUGAAGAAGGAUUUCGGUUCGUAAAACUCUGUUGUUAGGGAAGAAAAAAUGUAUAGUAACUAUAUACAAAAGAGACGGUACCUAACCAGAAAGCCACGGCUAACUACGUGCCAGCAGCCGCGGUAAUACGUAGGUGGCAAGCGUUGUCCGGAAUUAUUGGGCGUAAAGCGCGCGCAGGUGGUUUAGGAAGUCUGAUGUGAAAGCCCACGGCUCAACCGUGGAGGGUCAUUGGAAACUAAUAAACUUGAGUGCAGGAGAGAAAAGUGGAAUUCCUAGUGUAGCGGUGAAAUGCGUAGAGAUUAGGAGGAACACCGGUGGCGAAAGCGGCUUUUUGGCCUGCAACUGACACUGAGGCGCGAAAGCGUGGGGAGCAAACAGG